rnacentral:rRNA from 1 species
UACGUAGGGGGCAAGCGUUGUCCGGAUUUAUUGGGCGUAAAGAGCGUGUAGGCGGCUUUACAGGUCCGUUGUGAAAACUCGAGGCUCAACCUCGAGACGCCGGUGGAAACCGUAAAGCUAGAGUCCGGAAGAGGAGAGUGGAAUUCCAGGUGUAGCGGUGAAAUGCGUAGAUAUCUGGAGGAAUACCGGUGGCGAAGGCGGCAUCCUGGACCGAGAUUGACACUGAUGAGCGAAAGCUAGGGGAGCAAACGGG